rnacentral:rRNA from 1 species
ACUAAUCGGAUCACUGGGCGUAAGCGCUGCGCUAGGCGGAUCUCGUGUAAGUCAGAGUGUGAAAUCUCGGGGCUCAACCCCGAAACUGCGUCUGAAACUAGUCAAGUCUAGAGUCUUGGAGGGGGAAGUGGAAUUUCGCAUGUAGGGGUAAAAUCCGUAGAGAUGCGAAGGAACACCAGAGGCGAAGGCGACUUCCUGGCCAAGUACUGACGCUGAGGCGCGAAAGCGUGGGGAGCAAACAGGAUUAGAUACCCUGGUAGUCCACGCCGUAAACGAUGUGCACUAGAUUUGGGGGGUUUGACCCCUUCCGAGUCGCAGCUAACGCAUUAAGUGCACCGCCGGGGGAGUACGGUCGCAAGACUAAAACUCAAAGGAAUUGACGGGGG